GAGUUUGAUCCUGGCUCAGAUUGAACGCUGGCGGCAUGCCUUACACAUGCAAGUCGAACGGCAGCACGGGAGCUUGCUCCUGGUGGCGAGUGGCGAACGGGUGAGUAAUGCAUCGGAACGUAUCCUGGAGUGGGGGAUAACGUAGCGAAAGUUACGCUAAUACCGCAUAUUCUGUGAGCAGGAAAGCGGGGGGACCUUCGGGCCUCGCGCUCUUGGAGCGGCCGAUGUCGGAUUAGCUAGUUGGUGAGGUAAAGGCUCGACCAAGGCGACGAUCCGUAGCAGGUCUGAGAGGAUGAUCUGCCACACUGGAACUGAGACACGGUCCAGACUCCUACGGGAGGCAGCAGUGGGGAAUUUUGGACAAUGGGGGCAACCCGUGAUCCAGCCAUGCCGCGUGAGUGAAGAAGGCC
rnacentral:rRNA from 1 species